UCCCACAAAACUCUUCAUUUGUGGAACAUGCGCAUUCGUUUUCCCUAGCUUUUUUGGGUGUUGAAAGUGAGCAUGCGCAUAAUGGUCCUCUGAAGUUUGAACAGGACAGAAACGGCUGGUCCUGGGGCUGUCAGUUGCUAACUUCUUUGAGGAAAUAGGCCUACUUUGUCAGGCCUCAGUAUGUCAAUAGUAACAGUUCAACUUGGUCAGUGUGGCAAUCAGAUUGGUUUUGAAGUGUUUGAUGCUUUAUUUAGUGACUCACACUGUCCCCAGGGACUCUGCUCUAAAAGAGAGAAUGAGGCAUAUCAAGCAUCUUGCAAAGAAAGAUUCUUCAGUGAGGAGGAAAAUGGAGUUCCAGUUGCUCGGGCUGUGCUUGUUGACAUGGAACCUAAAGUUAUCAAUCAAACCCUAUUAAAGGCUGCUGAGUCUGGCCGAUGGAAAUAUGGCCAGCAUUCAGGCUUCUGUCAAAAACAAGGUUCUGGAAACAACUGGGCAUAUGGUUACUCUGUUCAUGGACCGAGGCAUGAAGAAUCUAUAAUGAACCUAAUCCGGAAGGAAGUGGAGAAAUGUGACUCUUUGAGUGGUUUUUUCAUCAUAAUGAGUAUGGCUGGGGGUACAGGAUCAGGACUAGGAGCCUUUGUUACACAGAAUUUACGGGAUCAGUACUCCAGCUCUUUGAAAAUGAAUCAGAUUAUAUGGCCUUAUGGCACCGGUGAGGUUAUUGUUCAGAACUACAACUCCGUUUUGACUCUGUCUCACUUGUACCGAUCUUCAGACGCCCUCCUUGUUCAUGAGAAUGAUGCUGUUCAUAAGAUCUGUGCGAAGCUGAUGAAUAUCAAGCACAUCUCCUUUCGCGAUAUAAAUCAAGUCCUCGCCCACCAGCUGGGAAGUGUGUUCCAGCCUACGUAUACUGGAGAAGGCUCAUUUCACUACAGAAGAAACCCAUUAGGAGACUUAAUGGAGAAUUUAGUUCCCCAUCCUGAAUUCAAGAUGCUGGGUGUUCGUAACAUUCCUCAAAUGUCUGAGAACUCACUGGCAUAUAGUACGUUUACUUGGGCUGGCCUCCUCAAGCAUUUGAGACAGAUGCUCAUUUCUAAUGCAAAAAUGGAAGAAGGUAUUGAUUGGCAGGUACAGCCUCCUUUAUUAGGACUUCCUACUCUUGGAAAAAUGUCUCUCAACAAGGAGCUUCAUUUUAACACUUCCAUUGCUAACUUAGUCAUUCUUCGUGGGAAAGAUGUGCACAGUGCAGAUCUGGGGGGAUUUAAAGACCCAGCUCUCUAUACUUCCUGGUUAGCGCCUGAUGAUGCUUUCAACCUUUGGAAAACCCAGCGAGCCUUUAGCAAGUAUGAGAAGUCUGCAGCAUUGGUCAGCAAUAGCCAGUUCUUAGUAAAACCACUCGAUGUGAUUGUGGGCAAGGCAUGGAAUAUGUUCGCUUCAAAAGCCUAUAUUCAUCAGUACACAAAAUUUGGAAUUGAAGAAGAGGACUUUUUGGACAGCUUCACAUUAUUAGAACAAGUUGUUGCCAGUUACCGCAAUCUGUGAUAAUUGAACAAAGGAGAAAGUAUACCUUAUGUCAUUUUUGGACAAAAAUAUUUUCAAUACUGCUUUCUCUGUAAGGUUUCAAAUUCCAGGAUUUUAAAAGCAACACAGUAAAAUGUUGAUUCCUUCUACAUGCUAUGCCCACAGAACAGGAGGAAAGCCUUUUAAAUGGAGAAGAGCAUAUUUCCAGUGAAAACAUCUACUUGGUAUUUUCAUUUGUAAGAAAAAAAAUUGGUGCUUCUAUCAAGAACUUUUGGAAACUUUGCUGACAUGGUGAAACUCUGGAAUUAUCCAAAAAAAGAGAACAUUGUGUUUUGUUCUUCACUCUUCCCUCUUCAUUGCAAAAAGGAUUCAGUUCACUAACUAUGAACUAAACUUUCACCGCGUAAUUUUAAUCUAAGAAGUUACAAUUCUGUAGUUAAAUGUGUUCAUCUUUGAAGUGAAUGCUGCGAACCACAAGAGGGAGCUGUUGUUAAAUGCUAUACAGUGAGUGAACAUCUAUUUUGAAUAUUUUAUUCUAUAACAGAGACCUGGGAUGUCUUUUAUGGCUGACAGAUUCUUUACAUUUGAAGAAAAUGCAGAACAUCUGAAGAUUUCUUUGAUCUCUACAUUUCUCUAAAAGCACAAUUUUUUAGCUUCCAUUUUUUUUCCUAUAUCUGAAAUUGUGGAAAGCACUCCCACACACAUGCUUUUAUCAGACAGGCAUCCCAUUAUGUCUGAUUCCAUCAGAAUGCCAAGAAUAGUGACACCCCAAUUCUCACUGGCUUCAAAAACUGUGUACCCACUUGAGAAUGGAAUAGUCAAGUUUCGUGCUUCGCUUCUCCACCAAAGGAUUACCACGCAAGAUCACAAGAGAAAAACCAGUACACCAGAAGCUUGGACUUUCACACUGGACUUUUCUGCAGAACUGAAUGGCUGCAAGCCAGAAUGCCUAGGGUUUGAAUUCCAACUCAGCUACUUCCUUGAUGCUUCCAGCAAACGAGUGAACCUCUCUGCUUUGACUUUCCUCAUGGGGUUGUUUAUAGGGAUUUAAUGAUUAAAUACAGCACAUGUAAAACAACACUGAAAACAAUGCCCGGUACAAAGUGAGCCAUCAAUCAUUAUCGAAGUGAUAGCAGUCCAGCAUGCUUCCUGGUACAGGGCAUUGGAGGAGGUUCCUGGUUGCUAAUCUUGAUUGCUGGUGGUGAACAAAGAAUACACAUGGAAGGGAUUUAGGGGUGGGAAGAGUCGGUGCAAUGGGCGGAAUGGAACAGGUGUGUGAAGAGCCUCGAGUGUGACCAAACAAUGAGGUUACGCAGAGAAAGUCUGGUGCUGUUAGAAGUUCAGGACUGUCACUCAAGUGAAAGUGACUAUCUAGACUGUGAGCCGCACUCACGAUGAAACAGAAAGGCCUCCAGUUAUUUUUGGCUUUCAUCUUUUUAGCUAAUGAAGAGGUUGAGAACAUGGUUCUUGGGUGACGUGGUGCGCUGGGCUUCAGCACUGCGGCCAGGAGUGAGCCUGUUACUGUUUCCUACUCAACCAGUGAGAAGCCCAGUGAGACAACAGUGAACUGACCAGUCGGCCCCCACCUUCAGGGAAAGGCGGGACCAUCCCUUUUCCCUUUUCAAAUCCCAAAGGGCCUCACUCCGCGAAAACAUUUUCCCCCCAUAGGAAACAGGCUGGGACGCAAUUAAACAACAGCUGUCCUGCAAAAGUGGCCUGAAGGUAAAAGCGGCUCGUGCUAUUCCCCAAAGGGGCUAGAUGGCAACAAAGGGAAAUGCUGCAUUUGGCAUUGGUUGAGGGAGAGAAAAGUGGCCUACAGAGGUCUCCUGGAACAAACCAGGCUUCUUCCUUAAAGGGCUUUGGGCGCAAGUUGUAGAUACCUCGCCUUAGAAACUCUCAAAAGACUGUGACUGUCAGCUUAGAUAGGUGGCCCAGGAGUCCCUCUUAGAUGCCCAGAAUAAGCCAGAGGCUUCCUGUCAAGAAUUCAGGAAUGUGGUCUUCAAUGCAAAUAAAGACUCCAUUGUAGAAAUAGAGCUGGAGUGGGUCCAAACUCUCUCCCUGUCCUUUGAGUCAUUUGGAAAUGGUUAACUAAUGGGUUGAACACCUGGGCUAAUUACUCCUGAAGGGGAUUUCCACACUCUAUAUUGUACAAUCAUCUCUUCCCUUCCCAAAGCCAUUUAGUUCCACCCUCUGAAGUGUGCCCUAAAGAUUCCAAAAUUUUCUAACUCUGAUUCUAGGUUUUCUUAAGUUAGAGCAAUAAUUGCUGCUGACACAGAGAAACAAGGAGCCAAGCAACUUUGUGCUUUUUCAAGUUUGUUUUGAAUUACGAGGAACAGAUGUCCAAUGUUUCAAAAAGCCACACAUUUGUGGAUUUGGCUGACAAACCCCCUAAGCUGCAUUUCAUUUCUGUUCCCAUAGAGUCAGCCAGCCACUUACAACUGACUCACUCUCUCUGGGCCACAGCUUGGGCCAGUAUCCCAACUACAGAAUUAGAAUCCCAGAUCUCAUAUGAAUCCAGGGUGUUUGGGUGGAGAGCAGGGGCCAUCUAAGUUUUUUUUUCUUUUCUUUUAAUUUAGUAGUAUCAACACCCACAGCAAACUGCAAGGCCAGUAGGUCAGAGAAUGAGCAGUUGGCACCUGCCUAUCCCAGCACCACACCAAUCUAAAGGCAAUGAGUAAGCAGCUGUCCAGAACUGGUUUUCAUUACAAUCCCUCUUAGUACUGGUUAAAUAUGCAAAUACAGGUUAUUUGCUGCAAUUCAAGGCCUCACCCCCAAGGCAAACGCAUUACCUCAGGUGAACUCUUGGCCUUGCUGGGAAGGGAGGGACAGGAACCCAAACCCCUGACUACCAGAUACAAAUGACUCAACUGCUUCUAGAAUUUUAAAGUACAUUAUGUGCUUUCUUUUCUUGUUGUCUUUGAGAAUAAUAAAGGAACAAAACACUUCAGAUGCCAGUAUAGUGCAGCAUUUCAUUUACCAUGUUUUGUGAAUGUCGGAGCUUUGAUCAACGUUAGAAAUGGAAUGUUACAUGGCUUUCAAAAAUAGCUAUUAAACUCCUACUUAGGUUGUUUUAACUUUUUGUGAGUACAUUAACUGACGUAGGGAUAAAAUAAAACAAUUUUGUUUUUCUAACAGGAAUGAGACUGUGAGGCCUCAUUCCUCAUGUGAGGAAUAUCUUACAUGCCACCAAAUCAUUAAAAAAAAAAACCCCAAAACAGUUUUAAAACCUAUUUACACCCAGCAAAUCUCACUGGAUAAUCUAGAUGGGAAGUUUUUAACAUGGAAUUAAAAGCUGAUAGUCCCCCUGCCUCAGGUUUUUAAAAUAUUAACUGUCUUUAUAAGAAAGUAGGAAGUGUCAACAUUUUAAGGUGGGAAGGUUAGAAAAGUUAUUUUCAAUUAUUUCACAGUAUAUUUUGUGUAUCUGUGCUUGGUACCUUAACUAGGCUAGAUGGGGGCUUGUUUUUUUAUUUAAAAAGGUUUUGGUCUUGUUAUUUAAGUCAUUAGUUCAUUAAUUUCUGCUUUUCUCUUUAAUCUGUACCUUGGAUUUAACUUCUUUAAACAGUGUAUCUGCUCCAAAACAAUGGUGAAUGUGCUGAGAGCAUUAAAAUCGUUUGUUUUCAGAGUAAAUGCAAUGUUGUAAAAUUCUUGCAUUGGUAUCAAAUGCUCUUUGAUGAGUUAAAAUCGGGGAACAUGUGAACAUUAUGGCAGUAUUCUUCAUUUUAUCUGAUUUAAUCCUUAGGAUAACCUGCCUUAUAUUUGUAUCUAUUUUUAUAGAUGAAAUUUAGGCUUCAAGCUAACAUUGUUCUCAAGGUCACAUGUGUUAGAGGCAGAAAUCUAAACCAUCAUUAAUAGACUAUUGCUCAUGGAGGCAAGUGUGUUUCAAAACAUAAGGCCUUUUAAUGCCAAAAUUUUGGGAACAUCUAUGAGUUCUUCACACAGGGGUCACUCAAAACACAAUUCACCUCAGGGUACAAAAGGGCAAUUGAUUAAUUAGCUUAAUGCAUUGUUUGUACUCAACAAAAUCAGUGCUGACUGACUAGUCAAAGCGGACAAGCCUUAUGCUGUCCUAAAGCUUUAAGGACAGCACAGGGCACGCUGGGAAUGUGGGCUGAGCUUGUCUGCAUAGGAGCACUUACUACUACAUACACUGAAUUAACCAGUAUACUUCGGAAACUUCACUCCAGCAUUGUCUUCUUCUGGAUUUCUAGACAAUGGGGAUAAUGGACAUUAUCCAAAUGAAAGCAAAAAUCUCUUUCUUCCAAGACCCCACUCCAGAUUAAGUAUAUACAGAAAACACUGCACAUUUCAAAAUAUGUUAAUUGUUGAAAGGGAGGUGCUUCUCAGUACCAAGUGUAUGAACUGCUGAUGAAUUUGCACUGCACCGUACUUGACAGUCACUGAGUGGAGACAUGAUAAAACACUGCAGAUAUUUAAGGCACAAAGUGAGACCUAAACAAAGUAGACAUGGAAUCAGAAUUCCCAGGCCCUUUUUUUUAUUUGCAAUAAUAUCAAACCAUCGAUUUACAAAGUUUCUGGUCUCCUAUGUGCUGCAAUGAAUUAGGUAUGUCUUUGGGACCAUGUAGUUGCGCCCACUUUGGUGGGUACAAGAAAGGAACCAACCAACCACUGGAACUCCAGUGUAGCACACUGCUCCAGCUGGACUCCAGCAGCGUCACCUGAGCAUGCCACACCUGAACACUGAGUGGAGGAAAGGAGAGCUGCUCUUCAUUUGUUUCCAAAGCAAAUUCAUUUGAAAGAGUGAAAAAAAUCGUCAUCAUUAAGUCAAACGUUUUAAUCACUUAGACCUUCAGCCCAAGACACAAAGUUUUUCCAACAUCCUACCCUGAAAUAAAUAUACCAAUAAAACACAACGAGUGAAUGCAAAUAGUACAAUUCAUAUUUGCUUUCCUCUUUCCUUUUUUUACACAAACACCAAAUAAAAUGCAGGUGAAGGAGAUGAAACACAACUGGAAGCGGACUUGGGAACUACACGAACACUAAAGAAUCGAAACAUGUUUGGGUACUACUGCUUUUCAUGUAAGUCAUACUGCUAGAAAGUUCCUGGGUGGAAAAGACA